AUGUCAAAAAUGGAAAAUAAAAAUAAAAAAAAAAAAUUUGAAAUGCUUGUGCUUUUUGAGCUGUGCUGCUGCUGCACAACAGGAUCGCGCCGCGUCCUGCGCCCGGCCUCCACUCGCAGGCGGCGGAGCUGGGUGCACGUGCCAGGAGCAGCCAGCAGCCGGGGAUUUCGGUGGCAGCUUUGGGGCUGGAAAAGCAAUAUUUGCAAUUUGGAAAUUGCUGCGGUCACGGAAACAUUCAAGAAAAUCAAGGGCCGUGCCUACAGCACGGCAGACACGGAUGAGGUUGGUAGGGGCUGGGGGGAGCAGUGCAGCACCCGGCUGCCCACCGGUGCCUCGGGGAGGAGAGCCAGCCCCGGGCAGUGGGAGCACCGCGGGGCUCAGUGCAUGGAAGCUCCCAAGGGGCACAGGGGGCUGCAGCACCCCAGGGAUGAAGGCAGAACUCACACCCAGCUGGCUGUGGCAGAGGGGCACAGCGAGAGCCUCUUCCUGCUGAAAGAAGAACAGGAAUUACUGCGCUUCUUUCUCUUGAAGCUAUUCAAAUAUUUUCUCCUGCUGAUUAAUUCGCCGCUCCCCAGGGCUCAGCACGGCUGCUCCCGAGCCAGCGCAGAUGCCUGCCCCGAGGAGCCCCUCGGCACCCCGGGCAGCGCGCUGAGCGGCGCCCACCCUCCCUGGGAGAGGAGCCCCCACGCGCCCAGCCCCGCGCAGCACCGCGCUGCCAACCCUCCCGGGAAGAGCCCGUUUCCCCUGGGUGCCCCAGCACAGCAAAGCCGAUCGAAGCGGAGCCCAGGCAAGCAACAGCUCCAGUUAUCCGUGGCUUGUGCAGGCGCGGAGCAAUCCGGCUCCUUUCCCCCUUUCCCCACAAUCCAGACGCAGCCCGGUGGCAGCAGGAACGAGCUGCGCGACCUCGCUUCGCUACAGGGAAGCAGCAGAACAGCAGAGCCCCAGGGCACGGCGCAGGGGCAGGAAGGGCACGGCUCCCUUCGCACGCACAGGAGGUGCAGAUGGGUGCAGGAGCGUGGCAGGCGCCGCACCCCCGACGGGAAACCUCCCCCCGGCGGCCCCGGGCACGGCGAUGCCGCGCUGCAUCCCCCCCCGCUACCUCCGGCCCCGCGGGGCUCCCCCCGACCCCGGCCCCGACGGCCCCGGGGACGCCCCGACGGAGCUUCCCCGCCGCCCCCGGCGCAGCAGCGGGGCGAGCCGCCCCCCCUCUCCGCUCCCCCCCCCCGGUGACUCACUCUCAGAGGUCCCCGCCGCGGCGGCGGAGGCGCAGGGCAGCCGCGGGUCCCCGCCCGCCGAGCGGCAUCUCCCGAGCAGCGGCGACCGGGGCAGCCCGGCGGCGGCUGGGGGAGGCGGCGCGGCACCGCCUGGGCUGGCCCCGCCUGGGCUCGCCUCGCCGGGCUCGCCUCGCACGCGGCUGCGCCCGCGCCGCCGCCCCCGGAGCCGCCGAGCGAGAGAAGCAGCGCUGGAACCAACGGGAACGGCUGGAACCAACGGAAACCAACGCGCCCGCCCCCGGCCGCCGCCACCACCGAGAGCCGCGGGCGGGGGCACGUGCGGCCGCGCCGCCCCCCGGCUCCCGCCUCCUCCUCCUCCUCCUCCUCCUCCCCGGCCCCGAGCUGCCCCCGGCCCGGCCCCCCCCCCGCGGAGCCGCACGCCCACCUCCUGCUCCUCCCGCCCGGCCGGUGCGCCCCGGGCGCGCUCCCGCCGCAGCCCGGCGCGUUCCCGCGGCGCGAGGCACCUCCC
rnacentral:lncRNA from 1 species